AUGUACUCCAUCCAUAGUACCUGGGUCCAGCAGGUGGCAACCCCGAGCCAGCUAAGUAGCGAUGAAGAUGAAUAUUUUGUUUUCAUGCUGGUCAAUGCGUAUAUUCUGUUGGUGGAAACUUUGCAUGAAGUUCAAUUAAGACAGAAAAUUAAAGAAAAGGAGUUGAGAAUAGAGAAUAUUGCCCCAUUUGGUGGCUCUUUUAUCAAGUGCUUGAUUGAUCCUCGUCCCCCCAUGUCAUUGCAAGUUGCAUCUUGCAGAACACAUCAAACAGCAAAGAAGAUUAGAAAAAUAGAAGACAUAACCAGAAGACAAUAUGAACACAUCAAAAGAGUAAAGACUUUUGCUUUGCUCACCCAAUUUGCAAUGCCAUUUGGCUCCCAAUUGCAGCACCAGGACCCGGACGCCCUUCACUCUCACCCACGGAUGAUUGGCUACCGGCUGCCAUGGUUUUGGUACCUAUCAGGCCAACAACAAGCAAUCAAUUCCUAUCAAGAACAGCAGCAGCCAGCAGCACAAGCAAAGAGCAGAAAGCAGCAAGCAUCAGAUCCAAUAACUUAG
rnacentral:rRNA from 1 species